GAUGAACGCUGGCGGCGUGCCUAAUACAUGCAAGUCGAGCGAACAGAUGAGGAGCUUGCUCCUCUGACGUUAGCGGCGGACGGGUGAGUAACACGUGGAUAACCUACCUAUAAGACUGGGAUAACUUCGGGAAACCGGAGCUAAUACCGGAUAAUAUAUUGAACCGCAUGGUUCAAUAGUGAAAGACGGUUUUGCUGUCACUUAUAGAUGGAUCCGCGCCGCAUUAGCUAGUUGGUAAGAUAACGGCUUACCAAGGCAACGAUGCGUAGCCGACCUGAGAGGGUGAUCGGCCACACUGGAACUGAGACACGGUCCAGACUCCUACGGGAGGCAGCAGUAGGGAAUCUUCCGCAAUGGGCGAAAGCUUGACGGAGCAACGCCGCGUGAGUGAUGAAGGUCUUCGGAUCGUAAAACUCUGUUAUUAGGGAAGAACAAAUGUGUAAGUAACUAUGCACGUCUUGACGGUACCUAAUCAGAAAGCCACGGCUAACUACGUG
rnacentral:rRNA from 1 species